rnacentral:rRNA from 1 species
GAUGAACGCUAGCGGGAGGCUUAACACAUGCAAGUCGAGGGGCAGCAUAGGGUAGCAAUACUCUGAUGGCGACCGGCAAACGGGUGAGUAACGCGUAUGCAACCUACCCUGUACAGGGGGAUAACCCGGAGAAAUUCGGACUAAUAUCCCGUAAUAAUAUCCGGAGGCAUCUUUGGAUAUUUAAAGUUCCGACGGUACGGGAUGGGCAUGCGUAACAUUAGCUGGUUGGUAAGGUAACGGCUUACCAAGGCUAUGAUGUUUAGGGGUCCUGAGAGGGUGGUCCCCCACACUGGUACUGAGACACGGACCAGACUCCUACGGGAGGCAGCAGUGAGGAAUAUUGGUCAAUGGGCGCAAGCCUGAACCAGCCAUCCCGCGUGCAGGAAGACGGCCCUAUGGGUUGUAAACUGCUUUUCCAGGGAGAGAAACUUACGCACGUGUUGCGUGACUGACGGUACCCUGGGAAUAAGCAUCGGCUAACUCCGUGCCAGCAGCCGCGGUAAUAGUGUGUGUAC